ACAAUCUUGGCAGCACAUUGACUAAAAUUGCAAUGAUAUAGAGAAGAUUGGGAAUGGCCCCUGCACAAGGAUGACUCACACUAUUGUGAAGUGAUCCAUAUUAGG